rnacentral:rRNA from 1 species
UAGCAAUACAAAUACUCGUGGCGAACGGGUGCGUAACACGUGGAUAACCUUCCUUCAGGUGGGGAAUAACCCAGUGAAAAUUGGGCUAAUACCGCAUAAUAUCGCGAUGGCACAUGCUGUUGCGUUCAAAGCCGCAAGGCGCCAGAAGAGGGAUCCGCGGCCGAUUAGCUUGUUGGCGAGGUAAUGGCUCACCAAGGCUUUGAUCGGUAUCCGGACUGAGAGGUUGGCCGGACACACUGGAACUGAGACACGGUCCAGACUCCUACGGGAGGCAGCAGUGGGGAAUCUUGCACAAUGGACGAAAGUCUGAUGCAGCAACGCCGCGUGGGGGAUGAAGCUUCUCGGAGUGUAAACCCCUUUCGACCUGGACGAAUGCCCGCAAGGGUUUGACGGUACAGGUAUAAGAAGCCCCGGCUAACUACGUGCCAGCAGCCGCGGUAAUACGUAGGGGGCCAGCGUUGCUCGGAAUUACUGGGCGUAAAGGGUCCGUAGGCGGUGUGGUAAGUCGAUAGUGAAAUCUCUGGGCUUAACCCAGAGGCUGCUAACGAAACUACCAUGCUUGAGUGUGAGAGAGGCGAGUGGAAUUACGGGUGUAGCGGUGAAAUGCGUAGAUAUCCGUAGGAACAUCCGAGGCGAAAGCGGCUCGCUGGAUCACAACUGACGCUGAGGGACGAAAGCUAGGGGAGCAAACAGGAUUAGAUACCCUGGUAGUCCUAGCCCUAAACCAUCAUGACUUGGGGUUUGCCCUGUACGGGGCAAGUCCCGUAGCUAACGCGUUAAGUCAUGCGCCUGGGGAGUACGGUCGCAAGGCUG